UAUUGGACACGGUGAACUGUUCACCGUAAACACGGUGAACAGUUCACUGUGUCCAAUACACAUAUCUAAGUCUUAGCCAAAAAUGGCUAAGUCCCGGGUAUUUGUAUUGGACACGGUGAAUGGUUCACCAUGUCCAAUACAACUAACCUGACUUAGCCAUUUUUUUGGCGCAAAAAAUCAAAUCAAUACACAUCACAACAUCGCCAUAUUUUUUGUGCAAAAAAUCAAAUCAAUAUACAUCACAACAUCACAACACAAUAAUACAAUACAGAUACCUAAACGCAACAGUAUAAUACAACAUCACAGCAUCACAACACAACAGUACAAUAUACACAUCACUACCAACAAAAUCUCAAUAAAGUAUCAAUACUAGAUNAUUAAAAUUGCAAAAAUGGCCCUGUCUCUGCCACGCAGGCGCCACGUCAGCGCCACGCGGGCAGGGCUGGAGCCAGGGUAUGAAGUUGAACACGGUGAAUCAUUUACCGUAUCUAUACACGGU
rnacentral:lncRNA from 1 species